ACUAAAUGAAUUCCCUUUUUGAAUCCAUUGUAUAUUUCAAUAUUUCGAACCAUGAUCAGCUCACUAUUUCCUGAGCUGGAACUUGCUAACUUCUAUGAUCGUUUUUUCAUGAAAGUUGAGAAGGCCGGGCCUUGGCCUUUUGUUUCUUCAUGAGAAGGUGUGACACUGCCUAUAAAUGUUUCUUACUGUGAAACACUCUGAAUGUGAGGCUGUAGUCAGGGUUGUUUCUGGUACUCGUGUCUAAAUCAGGGUAUUUGACAAUCUCAGAUGAUGCUACUGCCUAUGUGCCAGUUAGUUCAUCUUCCUACCAAGAUCAUGAAUGGCACCACACUAUCCACUAGCUGUACAAUUUACAGAGAAGCACAAGAUUCAUCUUGUCACCUACAAUUCGUCUUGAACAUGUUCAUAUUUAGUAUUUUCUUUAUAUUGAGGUCUACGCACUUCUUGACUUUCCAUUUUGUCUGUAAUUAUAAAACAGCAAAUAACAAAGAAGCAUUGGGACCCCCUCGGCUGCCUUGAUAAUAAAAUCAAGCUUCCUUGGUUUAAAUUAUAAUAGCCCUUCUCAAAACUAAACUACCUUUGUAAAACUAAUGAAAGACCUCCAAGUUAGGAGGAUGAAAGGACCCUGAAUUCCGCUAAGAUGUAGGUAUAAUUAAAUGAUUACCAGCCAUUAUUCCGGAGGUCACAAGAUUUGCAACUUCCCCAAUUACUCCUGUAAAUAACAUCACUAUUGUGGAACCUAAGAUUGGCCUUUUGAGGUGUCUUUUCAGGCUUUUGCAUUUAUUUUAUUUUAUUUUAUUUUAUUUCAUUUUAUUUUAUUUUAUUUUAUUUUAUUGUUUUUGAGACAGGAUCUCAUUCUGUCACCCAGGCUGGAGUGCAGUGGUGCCAUCUCAGCUCACUGCAACCUCUGCUUCCUGGGCUCAAGUGAUCCUCCCCGCUCAGCCUCCAGAGUAGCUAGGACCACAGGCAUGCAGCACCACACCAGACUACCUUUUUGUGUUUGGGUAGAGAUGGGGUUUCACCAUGUUGCCUAGGCUGGUCUCAAACUCCUGAGCUCAAACAAUUUCCUGGCUUUGGCCUCACAAAGUGCUGGGAUUACAGGCUUGAGCCACCGUGCCCAACUGGCUUUUGCAUUUCUGACUGUUGCAUGGCCCCAGUCAGACCAGCAAUUCCCCUGUGAUCCCCCAACCAGAAGUGGACUCCACAUGCAAGGACCAUUUUCCACACUCCUAUGAUUGCAUCUCCAACCAAUCAGCAGGAUCCUUACCCUAGCCCUCUGCCUAUCAAACUCUCCUUUUGAAAACCUUAGCCUUCUAAUUUUGAGGGAGGCUGACUUGAGUGAUAAUAAAACUCAGGUCUUCCGUUUAGCUAGCUCUACGUGUAUUGAAUUCUUUCUCUGUUGCAAUUCUCCUAUCUUGAUAAAAUGGCUCUAUCUGGGCAGCAGGCAAGUAGAACCCAUUGGGCACUUACAGUGUGACCAUAGCUUGCUGUAGCCUUGAACUCUUGGUCUCAAGUGAUCCGCCAACUCGGCCUCCCAAAAUGCUGGAAUUAUAGGCGUGAGCCACCUUGUCCGGCCAAGCCACCUCCCAUUCUGUUCAAAGUCAUCCCUCUGCUCACUGAGAUAAAUGCAUAUCUGAUUGCCUCCUUUGGAAAGACUAAUUAGAAACUCAAAAGAAUGUAACCAUUUGUCUCUUACCUACCUAUUACCUGGAAGCCCCCUCCCUGCUUCGAGUUGUCCCACCUUUCUGGACCGAACCAUUAUUCAUCUUACAUG
rnacentral:lncRNA from 1 species